rnacentral:ncRNA from 2 species
CGACCCUGUGCGGGAGAGUCCUCCGAAGUGAACGAGACGGAGGCGCCGAAGGAGCAAAUCCUCCCCGGAAUCUCUCAGGCAUACGUACCGCACGGACGAG